rnacentral:lncRNA from 1 species
GUUUGUAUUAUAAAGAUCCAAGUUUUCCUUGCCUGUUUCGCCAUUGUUUGCAGUGGAAGGUAUUACUUUUUCUUCAUGCCCGUAAGAUAAAACUCGAAGCGAAAACUUGUUAGUGGGUUAAUAAAAAAAUGGGUCAACUACAUUUAGCGUUCCUUAAUAUUCUAAUUAAUGAACCUUAAUUAAAAUGGCUAACCAACUACGUAAAGUGUUAGGUGUUUUUAGGGGUGGACACUUUACCCGAUAUCCGAAGUGCACCCAAACCCGAUCCGAAAAAC